ACCGCUUGUCGGGAGAGGCACGACGGCUGAGUAACGCGUGGGAAUCAACCUUAGACUCGAGCACAGCUCACCGAAAGGUGGGGUAAUUCUCGAUAGUCUGUACGUCAUUUCGGUGAUUGUAUAGUAAAGCUCCGGUGGUCUAAGACGAGCCCGCGUCCUAUCAGGUUGUUGGUGGGGUAAAAGCCUACCAAGCCUAUGACGGGUAGCCGGUCUGAGAGGAUGAUCAGCCAGACUGGGACUGCGAUACGGCCCAGACUCCUACGGGAGGCAGCAAUCAGGAAUCGUGCGCAAUGGACGAAAGUCUGACGCCGCGACAUCGCGUGGAGGAUGACGGCUUUAGGGUUGUAAACUCCUUUUCCCAUCGAACAAGUUCUGAGUGUAGAUGAGGAAUAAGUGCCUGCUAAUCACGUGCCAGAAGCAUCGGUAAUACGUGAGGCACGAGCGUUAUCCGGAAUUACUGGGCGUAAAGAGAUGCGUAGGCGUCCAUUCAAGUUACUUGUUAAAUCUCCUCGCUCAACGGGGAAAGCGCAAGUAAUACUGAGUGGAUUGAGGCA
rnacentral:rRNA from 1 species